ensembl:lncRNA
UAUAUGGUAGUUCCUGGGUCAGGGAUUGAAUCUGAGCCACAGCUGCAACCUAUACCACAGCGGGGGUAACACUGGGUCCUUUAAGCCAGUGCACCAGGCCGGAGAUCAAACUCAUACCUCCGCAUUGACCCAAGCCACUUCAGUCAGAUUCUUAAGUCCCUGUGCCACAGUGGGAAUUAAAAUGACAGUAAAUUUAAUGGAACAUCUAGAAUCACCUUGGAAAAUUGUUUGACAGUUCUUUUUAUUGCUGCAUACAUCUACUAUGCGAUCCAGCAAUAUCCGUCCUAGGUAUUUAGCCAAAAGAAAUAAAAAUAUAUGUCUACCAAAAGACGCAUUAAUGUCCGUAUUGCCUUUUCUCAUUUACAGGCAAAAACAGAAAAAACUCAAAUGUCCAUGAGUAGGAGAAUGAAUAGGCAACUUGACAUAUCCAUGCAUUUAAGUGCUAUAAAAAGAAUAAACUACUGUUAUGCAGAACAGCAUGGAUAAAUCUCAAAAAUAUAUUGAAUGAAAAAAGCUAUACAUAAAACUAAAUACUAUAUUAUUCCAUUUAUGUGAAUUUGAAGAACACAAAACUGAUGCAUAAUAGAAAUCAAAACAGUGCUUGUCCCUCAGAGGUAGGGAAUUGAAUGGAAAGGGACAGGAGGAAGCUUUCUAUCUUGAUUAGGUUGUUUGCUACACAGGUGUGUACAUUGACAAAACUCAUUGAAGCAUAUGCUUAUAUAGCUGAAUUUCACUGUUCAUAAGUUCUAUAGUAGUAAUAAAAAUUUAGAUACUUAACAAGAAGGAAUGGGCUUUGAGAUCAUAUAGAUCUGAAUUUGAUCCUGAUUUCUCCAUUUCUGUAAGCACAUGGCCUUGAACUAGUUAUUGCAUAACCGAACUUUAGUCUUCUUAAAUGUAAACUAGAAGCAGUAGCCACCUCAGAAGCUUAUGGUGAGGAUUAAAUGAGAUAACACACGUAAAAUAGCUGCUAUCAUUGAGACAGUAGAAUGACAAGGUCAUGAUCGCGGGCUCCGGAACCACAUUACUUCUGAAUGAGUUCAGAACCGGGCUUUGCCACCAAUUUAUUGUGUCACUUUGGGAGAGUUAUUUUAUCUCUCUGUGCCUUUGUUUCCUCAAUUAUGAAAAUAAAAUAAUGGCACAUAUCUCAUGGUUAUUAAGAGUAUAAAACGAGUCAAAUACGCUUAGACACUUAGACUAAUACCUGCCACAUAGUAACUGCCAUUAUUCUUUUUUUUUUUCUUUUCCCAGCCAUACCUGCAGCAUGUGGAAGUUCCUAGGAUCGGGGGAACAUUAGAGCUGCAACGGCAGGCCUACACCACAGCCACAGCAUCUGUGACCUGCACUGCAGCUUGCAGCAAAGCUGGAUCCUUAACCCACUGAGCGAGGCCAGGGAUUGAACCCACAUCCUCAUGGACACUAUGUCAUGUUCUUAACCCGCUGAGCCACAACAGGAACUCCUGUUAUUCAUUUUUGUAUUCAACCCAGAUGUUAUGAUGGUCUGUCACCUCAAAUGACUCCCUUGUCAUUAUUACGAAAUUUUUAGUCCUUUAGUUAACAUGGCAAAAUUUCACUGAAUUCAUUAACUGCCCCUUUUGUCUCCCUAUGUUUAAGUUGUAUAUAGCUUGAGAAAAGCAUACACCUGUGCUGUGGUGAAGACUACUAGUUUUUCAGCAAAAUCAGUUCUUUUCCUUUUUCUAUAAUUACAGAGUUUUAGCUGGGCCAGUGGCCAGACACUCUAUUUCCCAGCUUCUCCAGUGACUAAGUUCUCACCAGAAGACAACAAGCAGAAAUGAUGUGUCCAGCUUCAGACCUGGGCAUUAAAAUAUUACACAUAUACUCCUCCAAGGUCUUUCCCUUCCUCUAGGGCUGGAGUUACCUGCAACCCGACCUCAGUCAUGUAGCUGAGGAGAACACCAUAGGAGAUGGCAGAAAGACAAAAUAGAAAGAACCUGGGUGCCUAAGUGACCUGACCAUUCUUCUUGGACUAUUGCAUGAGUGAGAAAUAAACUUCUGUCUUUUUAAGCCGUGUAAUUUUGAGGAUCUCUUUUUAAAGUAGCUUAACCUUACCCUAACACACACGUUUGUGAUUUUGCCUAAAAAUUAUUUGUAUUAAUCCUUAUUUCCGCCUGGAUCAAAUCUUCACUACUUCUCAAGUCUCAUGACACCCACACAGAUACGUCUUUAGCAGGUGACUUCACCUCCUGCUUCAAGAAAGAAUGGCAACCAUCAGAAGAAAAUCCCUACAAUUUCCUGCCCCUACAUUUACAAACUUAGUUUGUCAUCUCAGUGAAGACUAGCUUUCCCUCCGGGUAAUCUGUGUACCUGUAUUUUGGAUCCCUUUCUGUCUCCUUGGGGACUUCCCUUCAUCGCUUAUUUCCUCUCUGCUCUUGUCAGUCCUUUCCUGUGUACCAACUUUUUCUAUCAAAACAUACCCAAAUCUUGCCCAACCUAAAAAAGAAUUUUGGAGUUCCUACUGUGGCAUGGUGGGUUAAGAAUUUGACUGCAGCGGCUUGGGUUGCUGCAGAGGUAGAGGUUCAAUCUCAAGCCCGGCGCAGUGGGUUAAAGGAUCUGGGGUUGCUGUAGCUGCCACAUAGGUCACAGCUGUGGCUUGGAUUCAGUCUCUGGCUCAGGGAAAUUCCAUAUGCCACAGGUACAGCUAUUAAAAAAAACAGAAAACAAAACCUGGGAGAAGGAAGCAUGAUGGCGCACAAUUGAGUGGGAAUUAAAGGAGGGAUAAAUGGAGUUGACUGUAGAAGAUACUAUAAGCCAUACCAACCACUCAUGGGCAUUUCUUUCUUAAUGCUGAUCAGGGCGUUAGCACAAAGGCAUGGUACAAUAGUGAUGAAUGCUUUCAACUCUCCAGUCAGCUAGUGGACAUCCUGUUCUGCUCAAACAGAGAAGUUGAUUAGAAAGCAGACUGAAUGCCAGGGUAAUGACGUAAAUAAUGUAGAGAACUGCUACUUUGGGUCUUAUUCUGAUUGACAAGUAAUGGACGUGAAAAUGGUGGAUGUGAGCGUGUCAGCUUGGAAUUAGUAAAAUCUGGGCCUGUUGGGCAUGGCCAGAAAUGUGCCUUCAGUUUUAGGAAAAAACACCUCAGAAAUUAGAAGAAAAACCUGGCAUAAUCUCAUGAAUCCACAAUACAGUAUAAUCUUUGAGGCAUGGAAAGCUCUAAAUAUUAUGAGGACAUAAUAACAGAGUACUGUGAGACUGAAUGCCAACACUUAAAAAAACUUAUAUACUUGGUGUCAACCUUUCUGGGGCAAUUAGAUGUAGGAUAUGAACUAACAGAAUUACUGGAGACCCAAAAUGCCAUCACUAGCCCCUCGGUUAAAGUGGCUCCUGAAGGCCAGGUGAUAAAUGGAUCCCUGGCCCAAGUGCACGCAUAGUGGAUCCAGAGAUCUACAAACCCACCUGGAAGUCAUUUCUCUGCCCCCAUGUAAAACAAUUGGAAUGCAUAUACUUGGCAGUUGGCCAAGAGCCAUCAUGGUAUGAAAGUUCAAAUAGAAGCCUCUGUACCUGUCCCCUGUCCCAACCAAUAGAGUAAAUCAGAAGGUAUACUGCAACCUAGGUGGAAUUACAACAGACAUUGGUGCCAAAGUGAACAACUUAAAGGAUGCACCAUGCGUUACUUCACUUGAGUGGUUCCAUAUGGAUUGUAGCAGAUGAUUUUCAAAUAAAAAACAAAUGGCUGCUAUGCCAUAUGUUGUAUCUUUACUUGAAGACUGACAUAGCCGGCACUUUAUAUUCAGCUCUUGAUCUACAAAAUCAUUCAGUUCUCAUAAGAAAAAAGAAUCAAGGAGUUCCCACUCUGGCUGAGUGGGAAUGAACCCAACUAGUAUCCUUGAGGAUAAGAGUUUGAUCCCUAGCCACGUUCAGUAGGUUAAGGAUCCGGUGUUGCUAAUGAGCUGUGGUGUAGGUUGCAGACACAGCUUGGAUCCCCAUUGUUGUGGCUGUGGCGUAGGCUGGCAACCGCAGCUCUGAUUUGAUCCCUAGCCUGGGAACUUCCAUAUGCUGUGGGUGUGGCCCGAAAAAGACAAAUAAAUAAAUAAAAGGAUCAAAAAUAUUGCUUUUAAAUAGUAGGGUCCAUUUAAUCGUAUGAAUGUUUCCUUAGAGUAGUUUCCCAAGGAGAUAGAAAUAAAAACAAAAACAAAUGGGAUCUACUCAAACUUACAAGCUUUCGCAUUGCAAAAGAAAUCAUAAAAUGAGGGACUUCCCUUCGUGGCUCAGUGGUCAGCGAACCCGACUGGGAUCCAUGGAUGCAAGUUCCAUCCCUGGCCUCACUGAGCAGGUUAAGGAUCCGGCAUUGCUGUGAACUGUGUUGUAGCUCACAGAUGCGGAUCAGAUCCUGUGUGGCUGUGGCUGUGGCAUAGGCCAGCACCUGUAGCUCUAAUUUGACCCCUAUCCUGGGAACUUCCAUAUGCUGCAGGUGCAGCC